rnacentral:rRNA from 1 species
CAGCCGCCACGGGAAUACGAAGGGUGCAAGCGUUAAUCGGAAUUACUGGGCGUAAAGCGUGCGUAGGCGGUUUGUUAAGACAGAUGUGAAAUCCCCGGGCUCAACCUGGGAACUGCAUUUGUGACUGGCAAGCUAGAGUGUGGCAGAGGGGGGUGGAAUUCCGCGUGUAGCAGUGAAAUGCGUAGAUAUGCGGAGGAACACCGAUGGCGAAGGCAGCCCCCUGGGCCAACACUGACGCUCAUGCACGAAAGCGUGGGGAGCAAACAGGAUUAGAUACCCCAGUGUCCCUGUCUCUUAUACC